AGUGGCGAACGGGUGAGUAACACGUGAGUAACCUGCCCUUGACUCUGGGAUAAGCCUGGGAAACUGGGUCUAAUACCGGAUACGACCAUCUGGCGCAUGUCAUGGUGGUGGAAAGCUUUUGUGGUUUUGGAUGGACUCGCGGCCUAUCAGCUUGUUGGUGGGGUAAUGGCCUACCAAGGCGACGACGGGUAGCCGGCCUGAGAGGGUGACCGGCCACACUGGGACUGAGACACGGCCCAGACUCCUACGGGAGGCAGCAGUGGGGAAUAUUGCACAAUGGGCGCAAGCCUGAUGCAGCGACGCCGCGUGAGGGAUGACGGCCUUCGGGUUGUAAACCUCUUUCAGUAGGGAAGAAGCGAAAGUGACGGUACCUGCAGAAGAAGCGCCGGCUAACUACGUGCCAGCAGCCGCGGUAAUACGUAGGGCGCAAGCGUUAUCCGGAAUUAUUGGGCGUAAAGAGCUCGUAGGCGGUUUGUCGCGUCUGCUGUGAAAGACCGGGGCUCAACUCCGGUUCUGCAGUGGGUACGGGCAGACUAGAGUGCAGUAGGGGAGACUGGAAUUCCUGGUGUAGCGGUGAAAUGCGCAGAUAUCAGGAGGAACACCGAUGGCGAAGGCAGGUCUCUGGGCUGUAACUGACGCUGAGGAGCGAAAGCAUGGGGAGCGAACAGGAUUAGAUACCCUGGUAGUCCAUGCCGUAAACGUUGGGCACUAGGUGUGGGGGACAUUCCACGUUUUCCGCGCCGUAGCUAACGCAUUAAGUGCCCCGCCUGGGGAGUACGGCCGCAAGGCUAAAACUCAAAGGAAUUGACGGGGGCCCGCACAAGCGGCGGAGCAUGCGGAUUAAUUCGAUGCAACGCGAAGAACCUUACCAAGGCUUGACAUGAACCGGAAAGACCUGGAAACAGGUGCCCCGCUUGCGGUCGGUUUACAGGUGGUGCAUGGUUGUCGUCAGCUCGUGUCGUGAGAUGUUGGGUUAAGUCCCGCAACGAGCGCAACCCUCGUUCUAUGUUGCCAGCGCGUUAUGGCGGGGACUCAUAGGAGACUGCCGGGGUCAACUCGGAGGAAGGUGGGGACGACGUCAAAUCAUCAUGCCCCUUAUGUCUUGGGCUUCACGCAUGCUACAAUGGCCGGUACAAAGGGUUGCGAUACUGUGAGGUGGAGCUAAUCCCAAAAAGCCGGUCUCAGUUCGGAUUGGGGUCUGCAACUCGACCCCAUGAAGUCGGAGUCGCUAGUAAUCGCAGAUCAGCAACGCUGCGGUGAAUACGUUCCCGGGCCUUGUACACACCGCCCGUCAAGUCACGAAAGUUGGUAACA
rnacentral:rRNA from 1 species